rnacentral:guide_RNA from 1 species
UAAAUCAACAAAAGGUCAGUAUAGAUAGACAUAGUAUGAGAAAU